rnacentral:rRNA from 1 species
AAAAACCAAUGNCCUUCGGGGCUCCCUGGUGUUUAAUAAUAACUUCUUGAAUCGCACGGCCUUGCGCCGGUGANGGUUCAUUCAAAUUUCUGCCCUAUCAACUUUCGACGGCUGGGUCUU